CCGGAAAGUUAUCCAGGAGGAAGCCAAUUAGCUUCGAGGGGCGGAGGCGGGCCCUGGGGGGAUCGGGCCCCUCGGCGGCCGGGCUCUCCAAUCUCUGAUUGUAUCCCGUUAUCAGUAAGGCUAAAAGCACAGCACCAAAGGCGGUGAACCAGGUCACAUCCUCGGCAGCAGUAAGAGCCCUGUGUCCCGUCCUUAUGGUGCUUUGGCCCUGGAGCCAAGGGUCAACUUUGCUCGUUUCCUAAGGCCUUGAACAAGGGGUCAACCUGGCCACCAGGUGAAUGGGGUGCAGAGGCAGGCUGCAGGUGGGAUUCAGGUUGAGCCCACACAUCUCUUACCCAGCCCUGAGAACCCAGAUUCUUCACACUCACCAGGAGUUCGUUUCGGGGCCAUAACCCAGCAACAGUCAUGUACCUUUUGGGCAGAGGGACCCACACUCCACUCCCUCCCCUCUGGAGGCCUAAGUGGACUCCUGGAAGCCUGCCCACUUUUGUGGAGACUCGAAGGUCCCUGGAGGCCUGGAGCCACUUCAUCAUCCCCAUGAGGUGCAUGGGCACCCCUAAAGUUCCUGCCAACUCUGGGAAGGAAAAGAGCAGCUCAUCUCUUGGCUCCACUCGACAAACAAGACAAUGGGGCUAGUUGGCGUGUUACCCAUCCAAGCAGAGUUCAGCCCUGUCACGUGGCCCUCAGUCCUGCCACACAGCACUGCUCUACCAGCUGCAGGGCCUCUGUGCCUGGACAGCAGGUACCGUGCAAGGAGCCAGAGCUGAGUGUGAGUGCACGUGCAGCCCUGCUGACCCAGGCUGUAGGCCAGUCCACCUCCACCUCUACGGCUCACCUGGCUGUACCCUCGAGCUCAGCCCACGGCACAGGAGCACACUUUUACCUCGUGGUGAGCCGGGAUGUGGGGAGCAGGCACACUAAAUCCUGCCCACAAUCCACGUUGCUCCUGAAGCCUUCCGCACACCCCAGAAGGGCUGCAGGAGGACUGCUCCCCAGCUGCCUGGCUGCCGCUUCCACCACCCACUAUCCGGUCUGUCACCUGACCUAUCAAAUACUUGGGGUAGGUGGGGCCGGGCCUGUGGGGCCCCAAGAUUCUGAGAGCAAGCAGAACCCAGAGAAGAUCAGGAGGCAAGAGGCCAGGGCCUGCGCAGCUGCUCUGGUGAAAACAAAGGAAAACACAAAACAAAACAAAGUGCUCUGGACUUCACUCUCCUCCCUUUUGACAUCAGAAUUAUAUCCAUCACAGCCAGGAGUGGUGGUGCACAUCAGCUCCGGGGGCUGAGGCAGGAGGAUCAAGAGUUUGAGGUCAGCGUGGGCAACUUAGUGAGACCCCGUCUCAAAAUAGAAAAGGGGAGGGGCCCUGGGGAGGGGGUGUU
rnacentral:lncRNA from 1 species